GACGAACGCUGGCGGCGUGCUUAACACAUGCAAGUCGAACGAUGAAGCUAGAGCUUGCUCUGGUGGAUUAGUGGCGAACGGGUGAGUAACACGUGAGUAACCUGCCCCGAACUCUGGGAUAACUGCUGGAAACGGUAGCUAAUACCGGAUAUGACCAACGAAGGCAUCUUCUGUUGGUGGAAAGAAUUUCGGUUCGGGAUGGACUCGCGGCCCAUCAGCUUGUUGGUGAGGUAACGGCUCACCAAGGCGACGACGGGUAGCCGGCCUGAGAGGGUGACCGGCCACACGGGGACUGAGACACGGCCCAGACUCCUACGGGAGGCAGCAGUGGGGAAUAUUGCACAAUGGGCGCAAGCCUGAUGCAGCAACGCCGCGUGAGGGAUGACGGCCUUCGGGUUGUAAACCUCUUUUGGUAGGGAAGAAGCGAAAGUGACGGUACCUGCAGAAAAAGCACCGGCUAACUACGUGCCAGCAGCCGCCGCGG
rnacentral:rRNA from 1 species